AGGGGAAUUGUACAAAAUGUAUCAGUACUUUUCAAGAGAAUAAAAUGCUUAAUAAGAUUUGCCUUCAGAGAUUUUUGAAAUUGAGGCCUACAGAGGCAAAGCACAUCUGCCAGCAGGACCUGUGAGCCUGAGAAAUGAAUAAAGAGGCAGACAGAUUCUCAUCUUCCAAGAAGAGAACAGAAUCUGCAUCGAGGAGCAGAGAAGCCGCAAAUUCCACUUGGAUUUUCUUAAAGAGCCUGUGGAGGGAUUCCAUCAGAGUAAGGCUCUUGGCCUUUCCCACCUUCACUUCCAUGGGAAGACUUGUCACACCUCCCUGGACAGCUUGA
rnacentral:lncRNA from 1 species